GCAUGCGCCGCGGCGCCCCGCCGCCCUCCGCAUUUCGGCUGCGGUCGCCUGCGAGCAGGUUGUUGUUUUUAUGAGAGGCGUCACUGCUCUCGGAGCUGUGACCGUCGCCGCCGCGACAGCUAACGCCGUCGGGCGGAGGUGGCGCUGCUCCUUCAGACCUGAAAAAUGUCUGAAAAUUCCAGUGACAGUGAUUCAUCUUGUGGUUGGACUGUCAUCAAUCAUGAGGGGUCUGAUACAGAGAUGAUGAAUUCUGAACAUGGUGUAGCCAGUGACAGCUGUGAGCUCACCCCAGAAUGUUCAUCUUUAUCACAAGAGGAGCUACGAGUAUUGCAGUUAGAGCAGGGAGAGAGCAGCCAGAAUGGCACAGUGUUAAUGGGAGGAGCUACUUAUCCAGCUUUGGAGGAAAUGAAGUCAGCACUCGAGGGAGAGGAAGAAAAGUUACCUGAUGACAAUCUCUAUUUUGGAACUGUCAGUGAUGAUUCUGAUAUUGUUACACUUGAGCCACCUAAGUUAGAAGAAACUGGGAGUCAAGAAGAAGCAAUAAUUGUUAAAGAAGCACAGCGUCCGGAAGACUUCAACAUGGGCUCUUCCUCUAGCAGCCAGUAUACGUUUUGUCAGCCAGAAACUGAAAGGUGGUGGGAGAAGCUGUGGAAGAUUCCUGAAUGCAUAAGGGGAUGGGAUGAUCAGCUGAAACACCAUGUUCCUAGCCAACUCGCUUUCCAAGUAUUUUCAUCUCAGCCUAGCGAUGACGAAUCCAGUAGUGAUGAAACCAGUCAUCAGCCCAGUCCGGCCUUUAGACGACGCCGUGCUAGGAAGAAGACUGUUUCUAGUUCAGAAUCUGAAGAAAGGUUACUUGCUGAACAAGAAACUGAACCUUCUAAGGAGCCGUGUAAACGUCAGUUCAAUAGUGGUCUCAAUAAAUGCGUUAUACUUGCUUUGGUGAUUGCAAUCAGCAUGGGAUUUGGACAUUUCUAUGGCACUAUUCAGAUUCAGAAGCGUCAACAGUUAGUCAGAAAGAUACAUAAAGAUGAAUUGAAUGAUAUGAAGGAUUAUCUUUCCCAGUGUCAACAGGAACAAGGGUCAUUUAUAGAUUAUAAGUCAUUGAAGGAAAACCUUGCACGGUGUUGGACCCAUACUGAAGCAGAGAAAACGUCCUUUGAAACUCAGAAAAGGAACCUUGAUACAGAAAAUCAGUAUCUAAGAAUAUCUCUGGAGAAGGAAGAAAAAGCCUUAUCUUCAUUACAGGAAGAGUUAAGGAAACUAAGAGAACAGAUUAGGAUAUUGGAAGAUAAAGGGACAAGUGCUGAAUUAGUUACAGAAAAUCAGAAACUUAAGCAGCAUUUGGAAGAAGAAAAGCUGAAAACACAAAGCUUCCUUAAUCAAAAGGAGACUCUGUUGGCAGAAGCAAAGAUGCUAAGGAGGGAACUGGAAAGAGAACAACUAAUAACCAUGGCUUUAAGGGUGGAACUCCAGCAGCUAAGCUCUAGUCAGGCAUAUAGCAACCCAGACUCUCCCAGUGUAGUGACUGAAAAAAAGGAAAUAGAAGUGUUACGGGAAAGACUCACUGAGCUGGAGCGCAAGCUAAACUUUGAACAGCAGCGUUCUGACUUGUGGGAAAGACUGUAUGUUGAAGCAAAAGAUCAAAAUGGAAAACAAGAAACUGAUGGAAAAAAGAAAGGGAACAGAGGAAACCACAGAGCUAAAAAUAAGUCAAAGGAAACAUUUUUGGGUUCUGUUAAGGAAACAUUUGAUGCUAUGAAGAAUUCUACCAAGGAGUUUGUGAGGCAUCAUAAAGAAAAAAUUAAACAGGCUAAAGAAGCUGUAAAAGAAAAUCUGAAAAAAUUCUCAGAUUCAGUUAAAUCCACUUUCAGACAUUUCAAAGAUACCACCAAGAAUAUCUUUGAUGAAAAAGGCAAUAAAAGAUUUGGUGCUACAAAAGAAGCAGCAGCCAAAAAACCAACAACAGUUUUUAGUGAAUAUUUAUAUCCACAGUAUAAGGCACGUACACAAAACCAGAAUAGUAGAGGCCCUACUACGCAAAGAGAGAGAAGGAAAGAAAAGCCUCAUUUUGAAGAAUUUGGAAAAAAUACAAAUUCACAGAAAUGCAGUGCUGAGCAUGACUGUGGUGGAAAUUAUAAUUCUUUCAGAAAGGCUUGUUCUGGUGUAUUUGAAUGUGCUCAACAGGAAUCCAUUAAUCUUUUUAAUGUUAAAAUGUUGAAUCCUGUAAGGAUAGAUGAAUUUAGACAGUUAAUUGAAAGGUAUUUAUUAGAAAAACUGGAUAGUUUUCAUCAUUGGAAAGAACUUGAUCACUUCAUCAAUAAUUUUUUCCUAAAUGGUAUCUUUAUACAUGAUCAGAAGCUCUUCACUGACUUUGUUAAUGAUGUUAAAGAUUAUCUUAAAGACAUGAAGGAAUAUCAAGUAGAUAAUGAUGGAGUAUUUGAGAAGUUGGAUGGAUAUAUAUAUAGACACUUCUUUGGUCACACCUUUUCCCCUCCAUAUGGACCCAGUCGACCAGAUAAAAAGCAACGUAUGGUAAAUAUUGAAAGCUCCAGGCAUCGAAAACAAGAGCAGAAGCACCCUCAGCCACAACCUUAUAAAAGGGAAGGUAAAUGGCAUAAAUAUGCUCGCACUAAUGGAAGACACAUGGCAAACCUUGAAAUAGAAUUGGGGCAAUUACCUUUUGAUCCUAAAUAUUGACCAUCAUGAUUAAGUUAAAUUAGAAAACUGUAACAGAAACUUGGAUGCUUUCUAUACUGUUUGGUGUUGAAACUAAGAUGAAAUUAUCAAGAUAACAGUGUCUUUUUAUCAUUUCUAAGUAUCAGUUUGAUGAUUUUAUAUUAUUACUCAGAAGCAUCAAGCAAAAGCUUACUAACUUGCAUUUUCCGGUAGUUUAGCUUUGCUGAAUUUUUUUUGGCACUGGAAAUGUUCAACUGUAGAUUUAUAUUAAGGAAGCCAGGCAUGCAACAGAUUUUGUGCAUGAAAUGAGACUUCCUUUCAGUGUAUGAGCUUAAAGCAAGCUCAAAUCAUACAUGACAAAGUGUCAUUAACACUGAUAUUUGUGUUAAAUUUCCAGUAGAGCUUGAAAAAAGUACAUUGUGAUGGAAUUUCAUCUCUAACAUUUUAUAAUCUUACACUUCUUGUCUUUUUGUGGGUUCAAGAGCCCGUUGACUUGUGAAGAAUUUGCUGCCUUACGAGCUUGCUGACUUGUUCUCUUGUGAAAUUUCUUGCACAUAUGAAUAUUGUGGAAGAAACAAUAAAACUACACCAUGAGGAAAACUAAAGGUCUUUAUUUAAAAUCUGGCAUUUGCAUUAUUAAUACAUGAUUUUAUAUUUUGUGAUAUUUUUCAUAUAUUUCCUCAGUAGUGAUAUUUGGUAAAGCAGUUCAUAGUGGUUUUUUGCUAGUUCCAUGAAUUUUACCCAGUAUUUACUAGCAUAUUUAAGCAGCAUCUGGAUAUUUCUGCUCAGCAAUGUCUAUUUCUCUGAGAAAGAUCUAAACAAAGUCAGAAUUUCAUGUUCAUGUUUGGUUGAGUUUCCCUUUUAACUUCCGUUCAUAGACGUAUAUGUGACUUCCAGUUCGACGCUCCGGAAAGUGAGUGUGGAAGAAAACAGCAGUUCUCUCAUACUUGUUUGAAAUUAGGAAAGGAUUUAUUUCCUAGAAGUAAAUAAAUGUUUAAGUAAAUAAAGGCUGCAUUUUGCUGAGUACUGUUUCAAGAAUUUAAGAAUGACCUGUUUGUUCUUCUGAAACCCUUAAUAAAACAAUGCAAUUUCUUAAUAAAAUAAUUAACUCAUGGUAAGUAACAUAUAUUCCUUGGUAGUUAUAGAACUAGGGCUGAUUUGGACUAGGGAAAAGACCAGUUAUAAAAUAUGGGUUGAAAGGGACCAUAAAAAAAGUGAUGUUGUCUAUUUACCUGAGUGUUUGCUAAACCUGAGGUGAAAUAAAAAUACUGAGUUAUACCUUUUUUCAUGUUCCCUUACCUCCUCCAAGAUGCUGAAGAUGAUCAAGUGAGUAGGCAGCGUUGAAUCAUUUUGAAACUCUCUAUACAACCACUUUAAGGGAUUUAGAUAAAAUAUAUCUGCUUCAACAAGAUAAUCACUUUUUCCAGUCAGGUCUGGGGGACACUGGAGAAAUCUCAUUGGAAGUGGGUGAUGGACAUGGCUAUAAAAAGAAAGUUACCAUUAUAGUUACAAGAAGUAAAAAAAAAAUUUUUUUCGUGAAAGUUUUCAAAUUACUCUUAAGAUACGCUCACAUAACAAAAUGUGAAAUCUGAAUCUAAACUAGGUUCCAGUUAAGGUGAGGAGGCACACCUUUAAUGCAGUUUUCUCAAAAAUGGAGAAUAUGAUUCUCACACUGUGUACCUGUGCAGUAACUUCAAGUCCAAACUAAAGAGCAAAACUCCAUUUCAGGGCAGGAAGUAGGUCAGCAGCCUGUGGGACUCAGUAGUCUAUAACAUUAGUAUGCUGUUCCAGGGAUGCAUGGGGCCUUUGGGACCGGGUAUGUUGCUUGUUAAUAAGAGAGUAAUAUCUGGCAAAGUAGAAAACUGAUCAUGAACCAGAAAGGAUUCUUUUCCUCUUUCUGCUCUGAAUCCUUACAUGACAAGUUUUUCCUUCUUUUUUUCUUAAAUAUUUAUAUAAGUAAGAUUUAGUAAUAGAGAGCAACAUGGGUUCACUGAUCAAAAUUCAAAUAAGUAAUGGUUUUACUGUGGCAUAGAAAGACUAGAGUGUAUGUAAAAAAGAUGGACUGAUGAAUCAUAACAACUUAAGCCAGUUACUUGGGCCAUGCAAAAAGCCAUGUUUACAACUUUGCCUCAGGAAAAUUAAUAUAGGGACUUCCCUGGUGGCGCAGUGGUUAGGAAUCCACCUGCCAAUGGGACACGGGUUCGAUCCCUGGUCCAUGAAGAUCCCACACGCCACGGAGCAACUAAGCCUGUGUGCCACAACUACUGAGCCUGCGCUCUAGAGCCCAUGAGCCACAACUACUGAGCCUGCGUGCCACGACUAACGAAACCCGCGUGCCUAGAGCCUGUGCUCCGUGACGAGAAGCCACCACAAUGAGAAGCCCGCGCACCGCAACGAAGAGUAGCCCCUACUCUCCACAACUAGAGAAAGCCUGCACGUGGCAACGAAGACCCAACACAGCCAAAAAUAAAUUUAUAAAAAGAAGAAAAAUUAAUAAGUGAUAAAAGUUUAUUUUUAUCUAUGAAAUGCAUACAAAAUAAAUUUACACAAGACCUUAAUACUUCAUGACUGGGACUUCCCUGGUGGCUCAGUGGUUAAGAAUCCACCUGCCAAUGCAGGGGACACGGGUUCGAGCCCUGGUCCAGGAAGAUCCCCCAUGCCAUGGAGCAACUAAGCCCAUGCUCCACAAUUACUGAGCCUGCGCUCUAGAGCCCCUGCGCCACAACUACUGAGCCUGCGUGCCACAACUACUGCGCCUGUGUGCUGCCACUGCUGAAGCCCACAUGCCUAGAGCCUGUACUCCGCAACAAGAAAAGCCACCGCAAUGAGAAGCCAGCUCGUCACAACUAGAGAAAGCCCACAUGCAGCAACAAAGACCCAACAAUGCCUAAAUAAAUAAAGUUAUUUCAAAUACUUCAUGACUUUUAUAAUUUUGAAGAUGAAGGUUUUGCUUCAAGGGGAAAGCAGAAACUGAGAAAAAGCUGCCAGCCUUAUAUUCCAAUACGCGGGCCUCUCACUGCUGUGGCCUCUCCCGUUGCGGAGCACAGGCUCCGGAGGCGCAGGCUCAGCGGCCAUGGCUCACGGGCCCAGCCGCUCCACGGCAUGUGGGAUCUUCCCAGACCGGGGCACGAACCCACGUCCCCUGCAUCAGCAGGCGGACUCUCAACCACUGCGCCACCAGGGAAGCCCAAUGAUGUCUUUUUAAACGUCCUGCAUAAUUAAAGGCAGUUUCAGCGUUAUUUCCCAGACACACUUAAUCCAAGCAUUAGGAUGUCAUCUAAUUGAAUUCCCUAAUUUUUACAGGCAAGACAGCUGAUAUCCAAAGAGACUAAAAAUACUGGUUUAAGACCAGGGCAACAGUACAACAGUAAAUCUGGACUUGAAUCCAGUGUUUUGAGAUUAUUUCAAAAUUAUGUAAAUAAUAAGAUGUAUGAUAGGUUUGUACGGAUCAAUGAUAAGUGAAUUUCUUUACUAAGAGUACCAUCAAAUAAGCCUAUAUGAUAUUUUAAACUACCUUUAAAUAGUAUAAAAUAUCAUAUAGGCUUUUGAUCAGAUUAUUUAAAUGUAAGUUGUUUUGAAAAAAGAAUAUUAAAGUUUAUUUGAAAGUUGUAUAUGAUUUUCAUUGACAUAAAUAGCAGUUUCAAAUUUCUUAUAAUCAUUUGAUCAAUUAAUUUAAAUCCAGGAAUCCAAAAGGAAUUUUAAAGUAGUUUUCGUAAUAAUAGCAUAUAGUGAACAAAUUUUAUUACCUAUAAUAAGGAGUAGAGUGACAAGGCAUCAUCAUAAGUACUGAAGCUGAAGAUAUAUUUGUAUUGUUGUAACAGAGUUCUUGAAUAUUAGUCAUGACAUCAAGGGUACCUCGUUGAUGAACUAAACCAGUAUAGAGGGCAAAGAACAUAUUUGAUAGAAACAGGAAACUUAGAGCUGGUUUCUUCCACAAUUUCAGGUUGUUUAGGGAGUAUCCUAUAUAAAGAUAGACACACUGAAUUGUAACACUGGUAAUGUUUUGUUUUAUAGCUAAGCAAAUAUUAACUGCAAAUUAUAUUGGUAAUCUUUCAUGGAAGUGUAGUAUAAGCUGUAAUGCUGUCAUGGACAAACAGAAAUCAGCAAUACGUCAUCUUUGUAAUUUCUCUGACCAUUCACUGUCACUAUCCAUUAUCAUCCAUGUCUUGACCUUUUUCUAGAAAAAGGAAUUGAGGUAUAGCGGAAAGAUUAUGGCUAGAGAGUCUAACAGAAACAGAUUUGAAUUCUAACUCUGGAAUUAGUUUCCCUAUCUUCCCUAACAGUACCUUUUUCAAGUAUUAGAAAAAAAUGUUAUGUCCAGUGCCUGUCCUGGUACAUAGUUGCUAAACAAACAGGACUUGUAUUUAUUCCAUUUACCUAUCACUUUAAUCUCCAAGCACUAGCAAUGGAUGUGUACAUACAGGUCUCAGUAAUUCUGGAGGAAGUAUAACAGAAUAUCCUCUUAGAAAAAUACACCACUAAGCUCCUGGGAGAUUUUCAGUGGUCAGUUUAUGAGUGGUGGCAUGGAUCUCUUUCUGGAAGAGAACGAUUUAUGUUUUAUUAUUAUUUUUUUCUUUCACUAUAGUGUUGGACAAUUUGGAGAUGCUAAACAAUUUUUUAAUUUGUAAAAGUAAUUCUUGUAUGUGGCAAAACAAAACAAAAAAACCACUUUGCUAAGGAAAUCUAUAUUUUCAUUUUCCAUAGUGAGAAGUCAGAUAAUGCCAAAAACAGUAACCUUUAAGAGCAUUAUUAGCAUUUUAUUUAGAGAGGGAGACAAAUAACAAAACAACCACCUAAAAGAGUGUAAGUGAUUGCCUCUGAGUAUGGUAAUGGGAGGGAGGGCAGGGGAACCACCGUUCUUUAAAAAUCCUUAUCUGACUUUUGAAACAGUACCUGUGCAGUUUUGCUAAAAAGAUAAGCAUAUGGAAAAACAAAGUGGCCUAAUCAGAGACCAGCAAGUCUGCACUGGCCACUGUAGUAAAAACAGAUUAAGCAGAAACCCAACCCAAGAUCCUGCCACUUAAAGACUCACUCUUUUGGAAUGGGAAUGAGAAUUCAGACAACUCAAGUCUUUAAAACACUCUGUAAAGACAGAGCAGAGAAGUGGAAUGCUGGAAAAACCAGAUUAUAAAAAUGGAAUGAAACCAAGUUCGUAAAUUAACCAAACCAAACAUGUGCACAGAAAUAUUUGUCCUCCAGUAGUCUGGCAAUGCUUACCUGGGUGAAAAGCAAACAAUUAUAAUUCUAACUCAAGUUAUUGUAAAAAAAAAAAAAAAGUUUAAAUCUGAAUAGUGAUUUGUGAACAUAUUUGCUCUGCUAAAUGGUCCCACUGUUCUUAAAACUUGCCAAAUAGCUCUUAGAUGCUUAUAUUUUUAUUUGUGCCUGCAUUUGUAUAUGAAGUAAGACUAUAAAUAGGACACUAACUUUGGUUUCAGAACUUUAGAUGUUUCAAAUACAUAGAUGUGUGUGUUUGUGUCUAAAUUGAAGAGACUACAUCUGAGAUCUGCAGGAGAUCACUUAUACUUGGUCAAAGAAGGCUGCUUAACUCGAUGGGUUGUUUGGAGGUUUUUUUUUUUUUUAAGUAAAAAGUUUGGUACCAUUAACUUCCCAGUUUUUCUGAGCCUCCAGGCCCAGUUGAUUACUCAUUUCUUCCCUCCUUAGUCCAGUGAUUUUUUUAGUGAUUAAUAUUUGAAGGAAGCCAACACUCAUUCUGAAUUAAACUUGAAGUUAAUAAAGUUUUAAUUCGUAAAUUUUCCAAACCAACCAAUGAAAAAGUUCAUAUUUUCCAGAGCCGAGUAAUAUAAGACUUUUUAGCAGCCAUAAGUAAAAAACUUACUGAAAAAAACCUAGUGGAAAAAUGGAGAAAAGAUUAAAAACUAAGUCAGAGGUGUGAAUCACUUUAAAAAUUGCAUAUGCAUUAGAGUGAGUCUUGAAGGGAUAGAUGUGUGUAAAGCAUUAAAAACUAGUUUCAAUGUACAUUUUUCAUUUGUGGAAUGUAGAACUUUGUAGUUUAACCAUAAAUUUAAAUUAGCUAUUCUAAAAUAGACAUGUUGUAUUACUUUUUAGUGAAAGAUUUCUGACAGCCAGAAACACCACCACCAAAAGGUGUUAUGGAUACUGGAUCCUUAUGUUUUUAUCUCACAGGACACAGGAAAAAGGAUAUUUAGGCUGCAAAAAGGGAAUGCUGCAGUAAUAUACUCAAUUUGUAAUUAAGGAGCAAUUCUUAUUUAGCCUAGUAGAAAAUAAAUAAUAUUUUAGAGUUUAAUAAGCAUUGAUUGUCUUUUAACUGUUUCUUUAUAAUUGAUUUUUUCUCUAUUAUACGAAAAUACUUACCACAGAACACCAUACAAAAUGGUAAAACUGGAUAGAUAAAUCUGAAUUCUUUGUGGCUCAACAUGCUAUAGUAAAAAAAGAUAUUCAAAGAAAAUAUUAUUUUUUUAUAUUAAACGAUGGUUUGAGAAGUUAAUGUAUUUAAAAAGAAUAUAAUUAACCUGAUCUGUUUUUGUAAUUACUGAGACUGAAUUUCAUGCUUUAGGAAUCAGUCUCAUUCUUCUUUAGUUAUAAGGUGAUGAUGAUGUGUUAAAAGUAAUCCUAACAUUUGAUGUCAAUGCGAUAUUCUAAAGUACAAUUGCAUUCUAAAAAAAGGAUUUCUAUUACCAAUCCAAGUAAGUUAUUUUACUCAAAUUUCAAAUAAAGGCGCAUACAUUUUCAAAAUA